CUAACCCUAAUCACUCUUCUCCCAGGUCCUCGCCUACCAAUCUUCAGCCGCCGCCACUCUACCUAUCCUCCUCGUGCCACUCCACCGGCGUCGGCGCUGAACCACCCCGCGCCGCUUCACCGAAGCCGGCGCUGAACCACCCCACGCCGGGCCGCUCCCCACCAUUCCCCUCCCCACCAUUCCCCUCCCCUCACCAUUCAGAUCUCCAUCAGUCCUACCCCUCGAGCCGAGGCGGCAGCGGUGGCAGCGGGACCAACGGCCGGACUUGGAAGUCCCCGAGGUCACCGGCGGCGGGGCCGUCAGCAGGAUUUGGAAGUCCCCAAGGUCACCGGCGGCGGGCACGGAUCCAGCUCCAUCCGACGGAGAGCCCAUGUCGGUUUCAUGGGGAUGGUUAGCUGCAAGGCGGAGCGGAACACAUACGUGUCCUUCACGCUCGACGACGGCACCGACUGCAUCGAUUUCAUCAGAUGGUGAGUGAAGAGCACCGACGGCCCCGACGAUGUUGGCUAUUAGUACGACGGUGCAAGAAAUCUAGUAAUAUGGGAAUAAACCCACAGAUUCUUAACCAUCUCUGAUUAGUUCAGUAAUUGAGUUCCAGAUGUGUUUUAAGAUACAAGUUGCACGUGAUUGAGACAGGUUUUCCAAUUUACAUGUUGCGCAAGAUUCAUCUCUCUUUCCAUCCCUUUGUCUUGCCUUUGGUCUUCCUACGUCCAGGGGGAUGGCUUGCUUGCUGUUCACUUCGUACAUAAUACUUGUUCUUCCCAGAAUACUGUCAGACACCAUACUCCAUCUUAUUUAUUGAUGAUUUUUCGGGGUUCUCAUGCUUGUUUAUUCUGGAUUUCUCUGUCAGAACUGCUUGUGUGUCCAUCUGCGACAAUGGCUGCUGGUCAGUUUGUCUAUUUCUUGCCUUCCUUGCUCCCUAGUGCUGUUCAUUAUACUGUCUCUUAGGAACCUCAAUUACUUAUUUCUGUCUACUGUGAGGUAUUUGUUCAGUUUCAAUCUGAAUCGCCUAACUUGGAGUGCAAUCCGCAUUGAGCUGGUAUAUCUCGAAUGUAUGCAACAGUAUUUAACUACUAGAUGUAAAUGUAAAAAAUGUUGAUAUAACUUCAAACAUUUUAAUUUUGGAAGACAAUGAUUACCCCAAUGCAAUUGGAGUUCAGUCAGUGUUUACUAUUGCUCACUUGUUAUACAGUGUACUGUCUAUCUAUGUUAGAACACUUGUUGGUUCUUUUAGGAAUGGUAAAUCUCACCAUGGACUCAUUGUUUGGGCAACAAAAAACAUUUGUGUUUAUUAUUAGUAAUCUUAUGCCAAUUGACAAUUAUUACUGAGCAAACAGAAGUGAUGGCCGCAUUGUGAAGAGCACCUUAUAUAUGCGUCAGGUUUGGUCACCUGUGAAUGUUCAGACAGUUGUGGUGGUGUAUCCACAUCAGAUUUUUAUUAAAACCUGAAGUAAUAUUGUAUUUCUUUAAUGUGGUCAAUACUUUCAUGUAGUCUGGAACAUGAUGAGUCACUAUUGCGUGUGUUUCAGUAUGCCAAAGCUGAAAACAUGUGUGGCACAUCUUGUGAAAACUAUCUUACUUUUGGUUGCGUCGUGUGUGCUAUCUCUGCACCUGCACUUGCAUGCUAUUGGACAGCUUAAUCUUAUGCUAAUAACUAUGCAUUUAUUACUAUAUGACAUGUAAAGUUAAUUUAAGAUGACCGAUCAUUUGGCUAGCUCCACACAUGUUACAGUGUUAUACUCUGUCACCUAGCUAGCUUGUCAUAUCAGGGUAAAUAUUUUGGUUUGGCAUGGCUAUCAUAAGCAGAUGAUGCUUUUGUAAUCCUUUUUCUUUUCUAUUGGUGGCGUGUCUAACAUUGCCAAUACCAUGAUGUGGUCUAUGUUCAUUCACAGUUCACCAUGAUGGCAGGGUGCGGCAACACGCUCCUUCAGGUUCUAGUAUGUUCGUAAUUUACCAAUGUAAAUGCUGAAAUCUAUUAAUUCAGUGUACCAUCGUUGUCUCAUAGGUCCUGAACAUGCUUAACUGGGAACUUAACUGGGAAGCUCAGAAUGCUAAUUCAUGUCAAUUGUAAACUAGCAUCCCUUUGUGAUUUAUGAACUUUGAGGUUGGCACUCAGCUGGAGAUUGAAGUUUUUAGCAGGAAUUACUUGGCCUCGAAUAACUACCUGGAAGCAUUAGUGGUGUAGUGUUGGAGAUUAAAUCCAGCUAGUAGUAUAUUUACUCGAAAUUUUUAAAAAUAAUGCUUAUAGUUCUUUCUAGAUAUGUGUGUGAUGUUUUGAUACAAAUAUUUGUUUUCAGAAAUCAGUCUAGAUUGUUGGAAGUUUGUAUUUUCUUACGACCAGAUGCUAUUGUGUGAAUGAAUUUGUCUUGUUG